GCUAGGUGUGGUGGUGAAUACCUGUAAUCCCAGAAGCUCAGGAAGCUGAGGCAGGAGUAUCCCGAGUUCAAAGCCAUCCUCAGCGGAAGCAAGGGGCUAAGCAACUCAGUGAGACCCUGUUUCUA
rnacentral:sRNA from 1 species